UACGAAGGGGGCUAGCGUUGCUCGGAAUUACUGGGCGUAAAGCGCACGUAGGCGGCUCUUUAAGUCGGGGGUGAAAUCCUGGAGCUCAACGUGGAGGGGCCACUCGAUACUGCCAUGACUCGAGUCCGGUAGAGGAGUGUGGAAUUCCCGGUGUAGCGGUGAGAUGCGCAGAUAUCGGGAGGAACACCCGUAGCGAAGGCGGCACUCUGGGCCGGAACUGACGCUGAGGAGCGAAAGCGUGGGGAGCAAACAGG
rnacentral:rRNA from 1 species